CUCCCCACCUAUCCAAUCGUCCUCUUGCUCCGACUCCAGGCCAUGAGCUACUCCCCGCCAAUGGCUCCGCCCCGCGCCUCCUCACGGCUGUGCCGCGGGCGAUGUGCGCUGUCCCCGGCUGCACGUCCCUUUCCUCCUCCCGGCAACGCGCCGCUCGCCUCCUCCCGCCCACAUGCCCCAGUGACUCCUCCCUGCUCGACUCCCGGCGAGUCGUGCCGCCCCCGGUCACAUUGGGACACACCUCCUCCCGGCUCCAUCUCCUCCUUGCCGUCUCCUACUGGUGAAAGCUUCGUCUCUUACUUUGGUUGAGGGUCUGAUAAUGGACGUAAGACAGCUGUUGGAUAGGAGAUUAAAAUAUGGAAGAUAGAAGCAGACGAGGUAGCUGAAGCUGGUAGAUCAAUUGAGCAAGAGCCCCAGAUCCAGGCUUAAACUAAUCUGGCAGCAGGGUAUCAUGUGCCCGCUCACCUGUUGGUGCGCGGCUGGUGGAUACGGAGAGAUCGGCGAUGAGGAGACCCUCGCCGUCCUUCUGAUUGCCCUCAGUUGCGGGAUGUGAUGGCGGAGUUGUUCUGCAACUGCCCAGGGGUCAUGGAAGAUGGAGAACUUCCUAACGCAGUAUGCGAGCGGGGACGACAGAGAACUUCCUGGCACAGUGUGCCCGCGAGUGGGUUUCAAGACAGUUCAUGGUACAAGGUCAAGCUCAGCUUGGAAAAAGUGGAGCAGCUGCGUGAAGAGGUUGAUUAAUUGAAGGAAAUCAUCGAGAAGCUAUUACUAUCUUUCAUGCAUUUCAUGUGUAAAAGUAAUUUCGAAGGAUGCAUGGAUUCGAUAGAUUAUGGAUUAACACAGCUUAUGUGUGUCCAUGGAUUGGAGAGAAUAUGAAUACACAUGUAACUAUAGCUUCAUU